GUGCAGCUCACGCUUUGGGGCUCUUCUGCAGAUCCCCCUCCCUUAUCCACCGAAUACCAACUUUCUAUAAAUCUGGUUAGCAGGCCAGUCUUCUUCCCCACAAAUCAUUCCUUUAUACCAAGGCAUUGCAUAUACUACCGCAGCAACAAUAUGAGCUCUCGGCAGCGUUGUGUGGUCUUCAACUUCAUCUUCUUGAUGGCCUUCUUGGUUGUUCUCUCUUAUGUGUCUAUGGUGGAGGGCUCGAGACCGUUACAUGAUCACCACCGCCGUUCGAUGUCUUCUACAGCUUUCAGGCUUGCAAGGGCGUACUCUGGACCAAGUCACCGAGGUCCUGGGCACUGAUUCUAUGUGUUCUUUGGGAUCGUUUGCUCGUUCCAAAUUUUGUUUAAUCAACUUAUUGAAGAUGUGUUUUUCUUUUUUUUUGUUCUUUUGAUGUAAGGUAUUUUUUUUUUUCCUUUUUUGGGUGAGAGAAUAUUGAAGAGUUCGACAAUUGUCUUUGUGAAGCUUUAUUUUAAAAUAUUCAUAGAGGACCGCUUGAGUACCAACAUUUGGACUUGUUUGUGCCUUUAACUUCCUUUCUUUUGUAAAUGUUUCAUUUGUUCGUCAAGUUUUAUGUUCAGUUUUGUGUAUUUAAGGGGUCUAUCAACUAAAUCCGGAAACAGUGACG
rnacentral:lncRNA from 1 species